GCGCAACCGUUUGGAGUCACGGCGGUGAGAGAAGAAGACAGAUUUCCAUGUCUCGUGCUGUGACAGAAUGGCGAGGUUUCUGGGAUUCUGAAAGGUUCGAGUAAGACGGCACCACAUCGGCUGCAAGGCAAAGUCGAUUCCCGAUUCAUAUUCAGGAAGAUAAUUUCAAGCAAAUAAGUUUCUGUUGGUGGUCAAGAAUAACAAUGGUGGACUGGUAAGUGCAUGUCGCCUUGUCUGAAAAAGAGAGAGAUGAAAAAGAUGGAAUCACCAACUAUACUAUAUCGUAUAGUAUAUGUUAUUUAUUGUAGCUAUUCAUGUAAGAAUACUAUACUAUUUAAAAUGUUGUCUUUUAUUUCACAUAUUUCUAUACUAUUUCCUUCAAUUAUAACAAUCUGCUAUGUUUCUAGAUUUCAUAUUUUUUCUUCUCUAUCUUUUUGUUUGAUUGUUUGUAAUAUAAAGCCAUUUCAUGCAAAUGUUGGAAAAGAUUACAAAUAAUUUUAAUAAGAUUUGUUUACCAUGCGGUCCAAUUUUCUUCUCCUUCAUACAUCGAAAAUAAU
rnacentral:lncRNA from 1 species